rnacentral:rRNA from 1 species
UACAGAGGUGGCAAGCGUUGUUCGGAAUUACUGGGCGUAAAGGGCGCGUAGGCGGCCAUCUAAGUCAGACGUGAAAUCCCCCGGCUUAACCUGGGAACUGCGUCUGAUACUGGAAGGCUUGAGUAUGGGAGAGGGAUGUAGAAUUCCAGGUGUAGCGGUGAAAUGCGCAGAUAUCAGGAGGAACACCAAUGGCGAAGGCAGCACUCUGGGACGUGACUGACGCUGAGACGCGAAAGCGUGGGGAGCAAACAGG